rnacentral:rRNA from 1 species
UGGGGAAUUUUGGACAAUGGGCGAAAGCCUGAUCCAGCAAUGCCGCGUGUGUGAAGAAGGCCUUCGGGUUGUAAAGCACUUUUGUCCGGAAAGAAAUCCUUGGCUCUAAUACAGUCGGGGGAUACGGUACCGGAAGAAUAAGCACCGGCUAACUACGUGCCAGCAGCCGCGGUAAUACGUAGGGUGCAAGCGUUAAUCGGAAUUACUGGGCGUAAAGCGUGCGCAGGCGGUUUGCUAAGACCGAUGUGAAAUCCCCGGGCUCAACCUGGGAACUGCAUUGGUGACUGGCAGGCUAGAGUAUGGCAGAGGGGGGUAGAAUUCCACGUGUGAGCAGUGAAAUGCGUAGAGAUGUGGAGGAAUACCGAUGGCGAAGGCAGCCCCCUGGGCCAAGUACUGACGCUCAUGCACG